rnacentral:rRNA from 1 species
GGCGGCAUGCCUAACACAUGCAAGUCGAACGCAAGGCUUCGGCCUUGAGUGGCGAACGGGUGAGUAGCGCGUGGGAACCUGCCCUGGAGUGGGGGAUAACCGAGGGAAACUUCGGCUAAUACCGCAUGCGCCCGGGAAACCGGGGAAAGAUUUAUCGCUCUAGGAGGGGCCCGCGUCGGAUUAGCUAGUUGGUGGGGUAACGGCCUACCAAGGCGAUGAUCCGUAGCUGGUCUGAGAGGAUGAUCAGCCACACUGGGACUGAGACACGGCCCAGACUCCUACGGGAGGCAGCAGUGGGGAAUAUUGGACAAUGGGCGAAAGCCUGAUCCANCAAUGCCGCGUGAGUGAGGAAGGCCUUAGGGUUGUAAAGCUCUUUCGGCGGGGACGAUGAUGACGGUACCCGCAGAAGAAGCCCCGGCUAACUUCGUGCCAGCAGCCGCGGUAAUACGAAGGGGGCGAGCGUUGUUCGGAUUUACUGGGCGUAAAGGGCGCG